rnacentral:rRNA from 1 species
UGACGACCGGCGCACGGGUGCGUAACGCGUAUAGAACCUACCUUUUACAGAGGAAUAGCCUUUAGAAAUGAAGAUUAAUGCCUCAUAGUAUUGUAGACUGGCAUCAGUUUAUAAUUAAAGAUUUAUCGGUAAAAGAUGGCUAUGCGUCCUAUUAGUUAGUUGGUAAGGUAACGGCUUACCAAGACAGCGAUAGGUAGGGGUCCUGAGAGGGAGAUCCCCCACACUGGUACUGAGACACGGACCAGACUCCUACGGGAGGCAGCAGUGAGGAAUAUUGGACAAUGGAGGAGACUCUGAUCCAGCCAUGCCGCGUGUAGGAAGAAUGCCCUAUGGGUUGUAAACUACUUUUAUACAGGAAGAAACACUGGUAUGUA